UCCUAAAAAAGAGAUGCAUCUGUGACUGCCUUCUAGUAUUGCUGUUCAGCUGUUAGAAGACAACCCUGCUUCAUCCACUCCAGUAGCUGCGUGGAACUAUGAGGACACUUGCACAGACCUGUUUUGGGGCAGAGGACAGAGGAGUGUGGACAACUGGGUACCCGUUGGCGCUGUAAUGAGUUUCCAAUCUACAGAUUUAUAUGCCCAUGUCAGUGCCAAUGUCACUGCUGGAUUCCUAAGGGCUCAGGAAGGAACUGCAAAUGACCACCAGAAUAGAGAUGCAUCUGUCUGAAUCAAGAGACCACAGGAGGGAUGUAAGAUCUCAAGGAACCCACGGAAAGGUCCCAUGGAGAGAGUUAGUUUUAACCACCUGCUGAGCCCAAAAGUGCAAUGUUACCCGUUUACUUUUCAGGGCCACAGAUGUAGAAUCCAGGAAAGUAGAAGGAAAAUGUUCUCCUCUGCUAU